rnacentral:siRNA from 1 species
GUAUACAUGGUUCCAUUCAAGAAA